rnacentral:rRNA from 1 species
UACGUAGGAGGCAAGCGUUGUCCGGAAUCACUGGGCGUAAAGCGCGUGUAGGUGGAAGAGGAAGUCUGCUGUGAAAGCGCCUGGCUUAACCGGGCGAGGUCGGUGGAAACUCCUCAUCUAGAGGUCGGUAGAGGGGGGUGGAAUUCCGGGUGUAGUGGUGAAAUGCGUAGAGAUCCGGAGGAACACCUGUGGCGAAGGCGGCCCCCUGGGCCGCACCUGACGCUGAGACGCGAAAGCCAGGGGAGCGAACGGG